GGGGGGGUUUGAGCUUUGGUUCUCGGAUUCUACUCAAGAAACCCUAUGCUCCCAACUCGUGUUGAGUUCAUAGACUGAACUCAAAUAUGCUUUCCUUUUGCCUGUGAUUCUAAAACUGUUUAUGCCAACCUUUCUUUCUUGCUCGAUACUAGCAUGUUUUUAUACGAGGGUUUUGUUCUUUUUGAAUUGAUUCCAUUAGCUUGUGAUUGAUUUCAAUCCCCUUUUAUAAGUCUUAAUUGAUUUGCUACUGAGUUUUACAACUCAACCCUUUCCCUAUUUUCUGACUAAGUUCAUUCAAGGUUUUUUGAAUUUCCGACUGUUUGAUUAUUUUAUUUCCUUAUACUUUCAAAAACAUGUACUAUAGUUUCCUACCUUUUAUAAAUUUUGUGUGCACCUGCCCUUUAUUUUGUUACUUUGAAAGGUUUUCCCUUCCUUAAUUAUCACUCUCGUUUGAAAUCAAAUCCCUUUGACUAAGGGAGAUUUUAUUUGAUUGACUGAGAAUUUAUUUCCUUGCCUUCUUGUCUACUCGAUUUUGCACUAUAAAAGCUCACAGCUAUCACAAGUUCUGAUACGCACAAAAAGUUUCAAAAAUAGCUUUACACAAUCAUUCGAACACAAUUCUCACAAAUUCUUUCUGCACCUUUACAAUACAUUACUACUACAACACUUUACUAUUCACUCUAUGCUACUACUAAUACUCUCUAUUUUCUCUUCUACCGCUGAGCACUCUGCUCUUUUGUCUCCUACUGUCUAAAUCUCCUGGAGUUCCUUUGAACUCCCAAGUACUUGUUGAAGUUCCUUGAGUUUGUUCCUGUUGAUUGCCUGGCUGUUUGUUUGUUGUUGUUGUUCUAAACUUGUAAUUAGUAUGUUCUUCUAGUUAAAUAGAACCCUCUUGGUUAUGUGUCCAAACUUCUCCUCUUUUACACUUCUUUCAUUGUGUGUUUACUCAUUCUUUCUUGCAUUAUGUGAUUAUAUUCAACCAUGCUAUGCCCCUUUAUGCUUUCAAUAUGUUAUGCUUUUAAUCCCUUCCCUCUAUUCCUUUUGUGUGUGAGUAUUGUCCUGAAUCAUGGCAGCACUUUGAAUUGCUGCCUGUGAUCCAGAAAUAGACUCUCAUGAGUCUUUACUCAAUUGCUCUCCCAUUCCCUCUCCUCUCUAUGUGCUAAGAUUUAAUUUGGGUAUGCUGGUGUCCUACUCACCAUUCAGACCUAAGUUUGACUCUCUAAGAGACUGCUCUUAUUUGUUUGAAUCUGAGCAAGGGGUCAGAUGUGUGCUAGUUUAUGCCUUGGCUGGGUAUGACCACCUCCUACCGAGGUUCCUCCCCCACUUUGUACUUACUCCUAGUCUUAAGUUCUACCCCACUUGGGUAACCCAUGCUUACGGACCCAGGAGCUCCCUCUAAACUGGGAUCCCUGAGGGCUGGUAAUUCCACACAUUGCACUACUCUGUUACAAUAUUCACUCUUCAGAGUAUAAGCAUUUCCUGGGCUCUUAAAGCUCCUUGGAACUUUGAAACACUCUGAAUAAGAGAAGACCCUGGAAUUUGGAAUCCGGAUUUGGUGAAACACAUGUAUUAGAUAUUAAGAUCGAAUUAGGCUUCUCGGAUCUAGCUGUGGGCUAUGAUGUAUUUUGUUUACUUUCUUACUUCUGAUUUGUAAUAAUAACUUUGUAAAAGGAACUUGGGGAGUAUAUUAGCAACGGGUAUGGGCGGGGCUUAUAUUUGCUUGCAUAUGUUAAAGGGUAGAUACCAUGCCUAUAGGAUCAACAUUGUUGUUCAAUUACUUAGAUAUCAUGCUCAUAGGGUUCAUGUUGCAAUUUGAUCAUUUAGAUAUCAUACCUAUAGGGUAUUAAUUUUCAAAUUCGGUCACUUAUAUAUCAUGACUACAGGUUUAAUACUUUAAAUCACCUUGAGAUCAUGUGUAUAUGCUUUGCAUUAUUUCUCAUUCAAACAUAUAGAAACCAUGCCUAUAGAAAUGCAUAAAAGAUAGGCAAACAGUAGGGUAAUACAAUGUUCUCAUGCCUUUAACGUUUAAAAUAGCAAUGAAUCAGUAAAACCAAAGUAGAUAUCCUUCCUAUAGGAUCCCAAGUUCUUUUAAGUUAUUUAAAUAAUAAUCUGGCAAUUAUUUUCAACGUUUUUUUAACAAAUUCGCCCAAACUUGUCUGCAACUCUAAGAACUUGCAUUUCUGUCUCUAAAUUUAUUUUUCCAACUCUUUGUCUGAACUUUUAUUCGUG
rnacentral:lncRNA from 1 species